AGUGAACGUUGGCGGCGUGGAUUAGGCAUGCAAGUCGAGCGAGAACCGUAGCAAUACGGGGACAGCGGCGAAAGGGACAGUAAUGUGUAGGUACCUACCCCGAGGUCUGGGAUAGCUGCGGGAUACUGCAGGUAAUACCGGAUAAUGUCUUCGGACCAAAGGUGUGAUUCCACCUUGGGAGGGGCCUGCAUCCUAUUAGCUAGUUGGCGGGGUAAUGGCCCACCAAGGCAACGAUGGGUAGCGGGUGUGAGAGCACGACCCGCGUCAUUGGGACUGAGACACUGCCCAGACACCUACGGGUGGCUGCAGUCGAGGAUCUUCGGCAAUGGGCGCAAGCCUGACCGAGCGACGCCGCGUGCGGGAUGAAGGCCUUCGGGUUGUAAACCGCUGCCGUAGAGGAGGAAAUGCAGGGGGGUUCCCCCUUCUGUUUGACCUAUUCUAGGAGGAAGGACGGGCUAAGUUCGUGCCAGCAGCCGCAGUAA
rnacentral:rRNA from 1 species